rnacentral:rRNA from 1 species
GUCCACGCCAUAAACGUUGGAUGCUGGGUUUGCGGGGUAUCGACCCCCUGCGAGCCGAAGUUAACGCGUUAAGCAUCCCGCCUGGGGACUACGGCCGCAAGGUUAAACUCAAAGGAAUUGACGGGGGCCCGCACAAGCAGCGGAGCGUGUGGUUUAAUUCGAUGCAAAACGAAGAACCUUACCUAGGCUUGACAUGCAAGUAGUACCAAACCGAAAGGCCAGGGACCCGCAAGGGAGCUUGCACAGGUGUUGCAUGGUUGUCGU